rnacentral:rRNA from 1 species
AUGACAGCAUGUCAUUGUUGUUUUUCUUUUGAGGAAACACAUGAUGAUUGUUAUUCUUUUGAUGAAGCACAUGAUCAUUGUUAUUUUCCUUUUGAGGAAACACAUGAUCAUUGUCAUCGGAGCUGUAUUUCCAUUUUGCUGUCACUAGAUGGCAUUAUCACAUUAAUGUUUAUUUCUCAGUGGAGUGGAUUUUGGCAUGAUAGUGUAGACAGUCUAUCCAUACACAGUCAGAUGAUCAUACUCAUAAUAUCAGGUAAUUACAGUAGUUGCAACGUUUUACCUGAACUACUGCAGCAUGAUUGUACCAAGAUCGCAGUAUUAGGCGAUGACAGGAUCUCCUAUCUUAUGCAUAACAAGUUCAUGAGAACUUAA